UGUGCAGCUGCUUGAUUCCGACGAGGAGGAUGAUGGCACCACCGAGCAGAGACUCAUUCGCACUGGUCCUCGAGUUGAUUCCUUCGAUGUUGAAGCUCUUGACGUCCCUGGUGCUCACAGAAAUGACUAUGAGAUGGAAAAACAUUUAAUUUUUCUGUGUGUUUGCGCGCGAGUUGCGAGAAGCUCCGCCUAACACCCUCGCAUCACCCUUCUCCGUCAUGGCCAUGGCCAGCCACCACCUCGUCGUCACGCUCUCACUCAAUGGUCAAAAGAGCAUGGCAAUGGACGGUGAAUAAGGUGAGCCAUUAUCUCUCCCUUCUCUAUUUGUAGCAUGCUCUUUUAUUGAGGUUCUUAAAUGACAUCUGAUUUCAUUUUGUAUUUGGUUUGUGAGUUUCUAUUCUACACCUAUUAUGCGUGCAAGUGUAAGAAUAGAAAGCACAGGUCCAUGGACGCUUUGAGAAAAUAAGCAACAAAAAGUUUAACUUCUUCUACUUCGUUUGAGCGAGCAUCGCUGUAUGGUUCUAGGAAUAUUCUUGACCAUCACAGAGACAUGAGGAUGGGCGUAGAUAACAUGAGCUAUGAGGAACUUCUUGCACUUGGUGAGAGGAUUGCCCAUGUUAACACAGGGUUGUCUGAAGACUCGCUCACCAAGAAACAGUGUAAUCUUUCUGAAGCUGAUUUCAUCCAAGGUUACUGAAUCACCCUUAUAAGGCAAGUCUUCAUGAGAUCAACGAGGAACCCAGUUGCCCAUCUCCUUUAAUUUUUGAUUUCGAGCAGGCAACUCUUGACGAAGAAGAUAUAAAGGAGCUCAUAUGGAAGGAGUCUCUGAACUUCUGCUAGGAUCAGGUGCAGGAAUAAUAGUCUUGGCAAAA